AUUAGCUAGUUGGCGGGGUAAAGGCCCACCAAGGCGACGAUCCGUAGCUGGUCUGAGAGGAUGAUCAGCCACACUGGAACUGAGACACGGUCCAGACUCCUACGGGAGGCAGCAGUGGGGAAUAUUGGACAAUGGGCGCAAGCCUGAUCCAGCCAUACCGCGUGGGUGAAGAAGGCCUUCGGGUUGUAAACGGCUAACUUCGUGCCAGCAGCCGCGGUAAUACGAAGGGUGCAAGCGUUACUCGGAAUUACUGGGCGUAAAGCGUGCGUAGGUGGUCGUUUAAGUCCUUUGUGAAAGCCCUGGUUUCAACCUGGGAACUGCAGUGGAUACUGGGCGACUAGAAUGUGGUAGAGGGUAGCGGAAUUCCCGGUGUAGCAGUGAAAUGCGUAGAGAUCAGGAGGAACAUCCAUGGCGAAGGCAGCUACCUGGACCAACAUUGACACUGAGGCACGAAAGCGUGGGGAGCAAACAUGAUUAGAUACCCUGGUAGUCCAUGCCCUAAACGAUGCGAACUGGAUGUUGGGUGCAAUUUGGCACGCAGUAUCGAAGCUAACGCGUUAAGUUCGCCGCC
rnacentral:rRNA from 1 species